rnacentral:tRNA from 1 species
UAAAAUUCGUCGACUUUAUAAGUCGUG